AGAUUGAACGCUGGCGGCAGGCCUAACACAUGCAAGUCGAGCGGCAGCACGGGUACUUGUACCUGGUGGCGAGCGGCGGACGGGUGAGUAAUGCCUAGGAAUCUGCCUGAUAGUGGGGGAUAACGCUCGGAAACGGACGCUAAUACCGCAUACGUCCUACGGGAGAAAGCAGGGGACCUUCGGGCCUUGCGCUAUCAGAUGAGCCUAGGUCGGAUUAGCUAGUUGGUGGGGUAAUGGCUCACCGAAGGCGACGAUCCGUAACUGGUCUGA
rnacentral:rRNA from 1 species